CUCAGCUGAUCGUACUUUCGGCGUUUCGUUGCGUUGCACGAGGGGAUUCAUCAUUGUUGCUGUUUUACCAGUGUUUCUCACAGUCACCAGAUUGGGAUAUUGCAUGUGGGGAACGGAUGGGCUGAUGCUGAGAACAGACUUGGAGUCCUUUUGAUGGAUGGGAGCACUGGUUCUGCCCUCUCUGUAAUGCCCGUCAGCCAGUUUCCACAUGAUAUAGACAUCGCCAAGGUUAGGGCUGGUGACCUCACACACAUGAGAGACAG